rnacentral:rRNA from 1 species
GACGAACGCUGGCGGCGUGCUUAACACAUGCAAGUCGAGCGGAAAGGCCCUGCUUUUGUGGGGUGCUCGAGUGGCGAACGGGUGAGUAACACGUGAGUAACCUGCCCUUGACUUUGGGAUAACUUCAGGAAACUGGGGCUAAUACCGGAUAGGAGCUCCUGCUGCAUGGUGGGGGUUGGAAAGUUUCGGCGGUUGGGGAUGGACUCGCGGCUUAUCAGCUUGUUGGUGGGGUAGUGGCUUACCAAGGCUUUGACGGGUAGCCGGCCUGGGAGGGUGACCGGCCACAUUGGGACUGAGGUACGGCCCAGACUCCUACGGGAGGCAGCAGUGGGGAAUAUUGCACAAUGGGCGGAAGCCUGAUGCAGCAACGCCGCGUGCGGGAUGACGGCCUUCGGGUUGUAAACCGCUUUCGCCUGUGACGAAGCGUGAGUGACGGUAAUGGGUAAAGAAGCACCGGCUAACUACGUG